rnacentral:rRNA from 1 species
AACGAACGCUGGCGGCAGGCUUAACACAUGCAAGUCGAACGCCCCGCACGGGGAGUGGCAGACGGGUGAGUCACACGUGGGGAUCUGCCCAAUGGUACGGAAUAAUUCCGGGAAACUGGGACUAAUAUCGUAUGUGCCCGCAAGGGGAAAGAUUUAUCGCCAUUGGAUGAACCCGCGUCGGAUUAGCUAGUUGGUGAGGUAAAGGCUCACCAAGGCGACGAUCCGUAGCUGGUCUGAGAGGAUGAUCAGCCACACUGGGACUGAGACACGGCCCAGACUCCUACGGGAGGCAGCAGUGGGGAAUAUUGGACAAUGGGCGCAAGCCUGAUCCAGCCAUGCCGCGUGAGUGAUGAAGGCCUUAGGAUUGUAAAGCUCUUUCGCCGACGAAGAUAAUGACGGUAGUCGGAGAAGAAGCCCCGGCUAACUUCGUGCCAGCCGCCGCAGUAACAC